UGGAGGUGUCUCAGGCCAGGGGCUGAUGGCUCAGGCCCUGUCUCAGGAUGGGACCAUGGUAAUCACCUGAAGAACUGGCUCAAAGAAUGGGUAAACUUUGAUGAGGUUUAGAAGAUUGGAGAGUUUAGAAAGUCAUAGUGAAGAAUCUGGGAUAAGCAGAUGUCAACAAGAGAAUCCUUAGCAACGCAGAGGGAGUAGAGGGGAAGCAAGGGAAGACAGAUGGAGGAGCCGUGCUGUACCCACAUUUGACCCGAUCUAGUUUCAAGAAUGCAGGGACAGCUUGGUGAAUACUUCCAGGGAAAAUUCUGCUUAAAUUCCGCUGGUGGCAUGCCCAUAAGCAUUUCCAGAUCUGAAGGCGCUUGCGCCUUUCCUAGUACUCUACUGUCCACAGGGCCACAGAGUCUCAACUGCUGGAUAUUGUCCAAGUCCUCUUCAUUGCAGCUGUGAUGGCUACACGGCCAGGCCUGGCUCGGAGGCACAAAGCCGGUUUUUUGUGUGACCACAGAAAGGUCAUCCCAACACUGAAUUUUAUCACCCCUUGGGGAGAUGCUAACAUAGGAGUCAAAAUAGCGAAGGUUUAAGGUGAGAG
rnacentral:lncRNA from 1 species